UACGGGGGGGGCAAGCGUUGUUCGGAAUUACUGGGCGUAAAGGGCCAGUAGGCGGCCAACUAAGUCCGACGUGAAAUCCCCGGGCUUAACCUGGGAAUGGCAUUUGGGACUGCAAGGCUUGAGUGCGGCAGAGGAGACUGGAAUUCCUGGUGUAGCAGUGAAAUGCGUAGAUAUCAGGAGGAAUACCGAUGGCGAAGGCAGGUCUCUGGGCUGACACUGACGCUCAUGCACGAAAGCUAGGGGAGCAAACGGG
rnacentral:rRNA from 1 species